CGCUAUCACUCCUACGGGAGGCAGCAGUGGGGAAUAUUGCACAAUGGGCGCAAGCCUGAUGCAGCCAUGCCGCGUGUAUGAAGAAGGCCUUCGGGUUGUAAAGUACUUUCAGCAGUGAGGAAGGCGGGUGUGUUAAUAGCACAUUCGUUUGACGUUAGCUGCAGAAGAAGCACCGGCUAACUCCGUGCCAGCAGCCGCGGUAAUACGGAGGGUGCGAGCGUUAAUCGGAAUUACUGGGCGUAAAGCGCAUGCAGGUGGUUGUUAAGUCAGAUGUGAAAGCCCGGGGCUUAACCUCGGAAUUGCAUUUGAAACUGGCAGGCUAGAGUCUUGUAGAGGGGGUAGAAUUUCAGGUGUAGCGGUGAAAUGCGUAGAGAUCUGAAGGAAUACCAGUGGCGAAGGCGGCCCCCUGGACAAAGACUGACGCUCAGAUGCGAAAGCGUGGGGAGCAAACAGGAUUAGAUACCCUGGUAG
rnacentral:rRNA from 1 species